CUGGAGCUGAAGUCAGACGCUCCACCAGUCGACUGAGCCACCCAGGUGCCCAAACCACACGUGCACAAAGAAGAGAUGACAUGAGCACACGGUGAGAAGGUGGCCAUCUCAAUCCGAGGAAGGCGCUCUCCCUAAACACUGACUCUGCUGGCAGCUUGAUCUUGUUCUCCCAGCCUUCAGAACUAGGAGAAAAUACAUUUCUGUUGUUUGA